GACGAACGCUGGCGGCGUGCCUAAUACAUGCAAGUUGAGCGCUAAAGGUUGGUUCUUGUACCCACUUGAUGAGCCGCGAACGGGUGUGUAACGCGUGUAGAAUCUGCCUUUGAGCGGGGGACAUCAUUUGAAAACGAAUGCUAAUACCGCAUAAACACUUUAAACACAAGUUUUAAGUUUGAAAGAUGCCAUUUCGUCACUCACUGAUGAUCCCUCGUUGUAUUAGCUGGUUGGUGAGGUAAAGGAUCACCAAGGCGAGGAUACCGAGCCGACCUGAGAGGGCGAGUGGCCAGACUGGGACGGAGACAGGGCCCAAACGCCCACGGGAGGCAGCAGGAGGGAAUCGUCGGGAAGAGACGAAAGAUAGACCGAGCAACGCCGAGUGAGGGAAGAAGGUUGUCGGAUCGGAAAAGACUGUUGGUAGAGAAGAACGUUGGUGAGAGUGGAAAGAAGAUUAAGUGACGGUAACGAGUAAGAAAGGGACGGCUAACUACGUG
rnacentral:rRNA from 1 species